rnacentral:rRNA from 1 species
AACGAACGCUGGCGGCAGGCUUAACACAUGCAAGUCGAGCGCCCCGCAAGGGGAGCGGCAGACGGGUGAGUAACGCGUGGGAACGUGCCCUUUGGUUCGGAACAACUCCGGGAAACUGGAGCUAAUACCGGAUAAGCCCUUCGGGGGAAAGAUUUAUCGCCAAAGGAUCGGCCCGCGUCUGAUUAGCUAGUUGGUGAGGUAAUGGCUCACCAAGGCGACGAUCAGUAGCUGGUCUGAGAGGAUGAUCAGCCACACUGGGACGGAGACACGGCCCAGACUCCUACGGGAGGCAGCAGUGGGGAAUAUUGGACAAGGGGCGAAAGCCUGAUCCAGCCAUGCCGCGUGAGUGAUGAAGGCCUUAGGGUUGUAAAGCUCUUUUGUCCGGGAAGAUAAUGACUGUACCGGAAGAAUAAGCCCCGGCUAACUUCGUGCCAGCAGCCGCCGUAACAC